UAAACAUGGCUGAGUCCCCUAGAGAUCAUUUUCUUUGGGCUUUGUCUUCAUGGCAUGGCAUCGGGGAACACUGAGCUCUGCCCCACGAAGUACAGUCAUUUUCCUCAAUGUUGCACAUGAAACCAGGUUCUAUGUCUGUGCCUGCAUGUUUCUACAACUUCCCAGAAGUAUAUGGACAAUGACUGAAGAGAUAAACUAUGCAGGAAACAGUG